UACGUAGGAGGCGAGCGUUGUCCGGAAUUACUGGGCGUAAAGCGCGCGCAGGCGGUUCUUUAAGUCAGGGGUGAAAGCCCAGAGCUCAACUCUGGAACUGCCCUUGAAACUAGAGAACUUGGGUACGGGAGAGGUGAGUGGAAUUCCGAGUGUAGAGGUGAAAUUCGUAGAUAUUCGGAAGAACACCAGUGGCGAAGGCGGCUCACUGGCCCGUUACCGACGCUCAGGCGCGACAGCGUGGGGAGCAAACAGG
rnacentral:rRNA from 1 species